rnacentral:rRNA from 1 species
CAGUCGCCGCGGUAAAACGGAGGGUGCAAGCGUUAAUCGGAAUUACUGGGCGUAAAGCGCACGCAGGCGGUCUGACAAGUCAGAUGUGAAAUCCCCGGGCUUAACCUGGGAACUGCAUUUGAAACUGUCAGGCUGGAGUCUUGUAGAGGGGGGUGGAAUUCCAGGUGUAGCGGUGAAAUGCGUAGAGAUCUGGAGGAAUACCGGUGGCGAAGGCGGCCCCCUGGACAAAGACUGACGCUCAGGUGCGAAAGCGUGGGGAGCAAACAGGAUUAGAUACCCGGGUAGUCCCUGUCUCUUAUAC